rnacentral:rRNA from 1 species
AGUGAACGCUGGCGGCAGGCCUAACACAUGCAAGUCGAACGGCAGCACAGGGGAGCUUGCUCCCUGGGUGGCGAGUGGCGGACGGGUGAGGAAUACAUCGGAAUCUACCCUUUCGUGGGGGAUAACGUAGGGAAACUUACGCUAAUACCUCAUACUAUCUGAGGAUGAAAGCAGGGAACCGCAUGGCCUUGCGCGAGUGGAUGAGCCGAUGUCCGAUUAGCUAGUUGGCGGGGUAAAGGCCCACCAAGGCGACGAUCGGUAGCUGGUCUGAGAGGAUGAUCAGCCACACUGGAACUGAGACACGGUCCAGACUCCUACGGGAGGCAGCAGUGGGGAAUAUUGGACAAUGGGCGCAAGCCUGAUCCAGCCAUGCCGCGUGUGUGAAGAAGGCCUUCGGGUUGUAAAGCACUUUUGUUGGGAAAGAAAUCCUGUCGGCUAAUACCCGGCUGGGAUGACGGUACCCAAAGAAUAAGCACCGGCUAACUUCGUGCCAGCAGCCGCCGCCG